CGACGCAAAGCCACGAGGCUACCGCACGCGACGCGCGUGUCACGCCAGUCGGGCUACCGAA
rnacentral:ncRNA from 1 species